rnacentral:rRNA from 1 species
AUAUUGGACAAUGGGGGCAACCCUUAUCCAGCCAUGCCGCGUGUGUGUAGAAGGUCUUCGGAUUGUAAAGCACUUUGAGUUGGGAGGAAGGGCUUUAGGUUAAUACCCUGAAGUUUUGACGUUACCAACAGAAUAAGUCCCGGCUAACUCUGUGCCAGCAGCCGCGGUAAUACAAAUGGUGCAAGCGUUAAUCGGAAUUACUUGGCGUAAAGCGCGCGUAGGUGGUUCAGUAAAAUGGGUGUGAAAUCCCCGGGCUUAACCUGGGAACUGCUUUCAUAACUGCUGAGGUAGAGUACGGUAGAGGGUAGUGGAAUUUCCUGUGUAGCGGUGAAAUGCGUAGAUAUAAGAAGGAACACCAGUGGCGAAGGGGACUACCUGGACUGAUACUGACACUGAGGUGCGAAAGCGUGGGGAGCAAACA